GAUGAACGCUAGCUACAGGCUUAACACAUGCAAGUCGAGGGGAAACGACAUCGAAAGCUUGCUUUUGAUGGGCGUCGACCGGCGCACGGGUGAGUAACGCGUAUCCAACCUGCCCACCACUUGGGGAUAACCUUGCGAAAGUAAGACUAAUACCCAAUGAUAUCUCUAGAAGACAUCUGAAAGAGAUUAAAGAUUUAUCGGUGAUGGAUGGGGAUGCGUCUGAUUAGCUUGUUGGCGGGGUAACGGCCCACCAAGGCAACGAUCAGUAGGGGUUCUGAGAGGAAGGUACCCCACAUUGGAACUGAGACACGGUCCAAACUCCUACGGGAGGCAGCAGUGAGGAAUAUUGGUCAAUGGACGAGAGUCUGAACCAGCCAAGUAGCGUGCAGGAAGACGGCCCUAUGGGUUGUAAACUGCUUUUAUAAGGGAAUAAAGUGAGUCUCGUGAGACUUUUUGCAUGUACCUUAUGAAUAAGGACCGGCUAAUUCCGUG
rnacentral:rRNA from 1 species